CCUACGGGAGGCAGCAGUGGGGAAUAUGGGACAAUGGGCGAAAGCCUGAUCCAGCAAUACCGCGUGAAUGAUGAAGGCCUUAGGGUUGUAAAGUUCUUUUAGUUGGAAAGAUAAUGACGGUACCAACAGAAAAAGCCCCGGCUAACUCCGUGCCAGCAGCCGCGGUAAU
rnacentral:rRNA from 1 species